AUUGAACGCUGGCGGCAGGCCUAACACAUGCAAGUCGAACGAGUGGCGGACGGGUGAGCAAUGUCUGGGAAACUGCCUGAUGGAGGGGGAUAACUACUGGAAACGGUAGCUAAUACCGCAUACCAUCGGAUGUGCCCAGAUGGGAUUAGCUAGUGGGUGGGGUAAAGGCUCACCUAGGCGACGAUCCAUAGCUGGUCUGAGAGGAUGACCGGCCCCACUGGAACGGUUACACGGUCCAGACGCCUACGGGAGGCAGCAGUGGGGAAUAUUGCACAAUGGGCGCAAGCCUGAUGCAGCCAUGCCGCUAGUAUGAAGAAGGCCUUCGGGUUGUAAAGUACUUUCAGUGGGGAGGCGUUACCCGCAGAAGAAGCACCGGCUAACUCCGUGCCAGCAGCCGCGGUAAUAC
rnacentral:rRNA from 1 species